CCUACGGGCGGCUGCAGUGGGGAAUAUUGGACAAUGGGCGAAAGCCUGAUCCAGCCAUGCCGCGUGUGUGAAGAAGGCCUUCGGGUUGUAAAGCACUUUCAGUGGGGAAGAAAGCCUUGGGGCUAAUACCCUCGAGGAAGGACAUCACCCACAGAAGAAGCACCGGCUAACUCCGUGCCAGCAGCCGCGGUAAUACGGAGGGUGCGAGCGUUAAUCGGAAUUACUGGGCGUAAAGCGCGCGUAGGCGGUCUGAUAAGCCGGUUGUGAAAGCCCCGGGCUCAACCUGGGAACGGCAUCCGGAACUGGCAGGCUAGAGUGCAGGAGAGGAAGGUAGAAUUCCCGGUGUAGCGGUGAAAUGCGUAGAGAUCGGGAGGAAUACCAGUGGCGAAGGCGGCCUUCUGGACUGACACUGACGCUGAGGUGCGAAAGCGUGGGUAGCAAACAGGAUUAGAUACCCCGGUAGUC
rnacentral:rRNA from 1 species